UUUGUCCUCGCUUUGAUCUAGUGAUUAUUACCAGUUCAUUGGCUCUGUAGAGGACUGGA
ensembl:miRNA